rnacentral:rRNA from 1 species
UACGGAAGGCAGCAGGGGGAAUAUUGCACAAUGGGCGCAAGCCUGAUGCAACCAUGCCGCGUGUAUGAAGAAGGCCUUCGGGUUGUAAAGUACUUUCAGUCGUGAGGAAGGUGUUAAGGUUAAUAACCUUAGCAAUUGACGUUAGCGACAGAAGAAGCACCGGCUAACUCCGUGCCAGCAGCCGCGGUAAUACGGAGGGUGCGAGCGUUAAUCGGAAUUACUGGGCGUAAAGGGCACGCAGGCGGUUAAUUAAGUUGGAUGUGAAAUCCCCGGGCUUAACCUGGGAAUGGCAUUCAAGACUGGUUAGCUAGAGUCUUGUAGAGGGGGGUAGAAUUCCAUGUGUAGCGGUGAAAUGCGUAGAGAUGUGGAGGAAUACCGGUGGCGAAGGCGGCCCCUGGACAAAGACUGACGCUCAUGUGCGAAAGCGUGGGGAGCAAACAGGGAUUAGAUACC